rnacentral:rRNA from 1 species
AGUGAACGCUGGCGGUAGGCCUAACACAUGCAAGUCGAACGGCAGCACAGUAAGAGCUUGCUCUUACGGGUGGCGAGUGGCGGACGGGUGAGGAAUACAUCGGAAUCUACUUUUUCGUGGGGGAUAACGUAGGGAAACUUACGCUAAUACCGCAUACGACCUACGGGUGAAAGCAGGGGAUCUUCGGACCUUGCGCGAUUGAAUGAGCCGAUGUCGGACUAGCUAGUUGGCGGGGUAAAGGCCCACCAAGGCGACGAUCCGUAGCUGGUCUGAGAGGAUGAUCAGCCACACUGGAACUGAGACACGGUCCAGACUCCUACGGGAGGCAGCAGUGGGGAAUAUUGGACAAUGGGCGCAAGCCUGAUCCAGCCAUACCGCGUGGGUGAAGAAGGCCUUCGGGUUGUAAAGCCCUUUUGUUGGGAAAGAAAAGCAGCAGGUUAAUACCCCGCUGUUCUGACGGUACCCAAAGAAUAAGCACCCGCUAACUUCGUG